rnacentral:lncRNA from 1 species
CACUGUACAUCAGAGCAUCAGUCACUCUUAUGAGUUUCGCUGUCUAAUUAGAAUGAGAAAUGAAGACAUACAAAGGCCAGGGCUCUGGGAAAUGUGUACACAACUGUUACUGUUCUCUGACUCCCUCUCACUCUGAUAGAUCCUGUGGUCCCUACUAAGGACCUUUCGCUGAUCCAGAAGCACAUACCUUACACCACCCCUCCUUUUCUCAAGAUUCAUAAUAACUGAUUCACAUCAAGUCGGGCCUCCAAAAGAGACCUGCUGGGUGACAUGGCACGUGCAGCGAGCACAGCUGAGAGACAGAAUGAGCAGGUGGCUGGGGUCACAGAGUUUAGCAUUGCCAGGGGAUGCACGGGACCAGAGAGACUAUCAUUACUGGCAUGGAUCUUUCCGGGCUUCAAGGACCUAAUAUUUCAAUGUUUACGAAAUUACCUCACAGGGAGAGAGAAAGCAAUUAACUCUCAGAGUAAUUUCAAAUAGCAGCAUUUUAAAAUUCAGAAUAACAAAAACAGGGCAGAGUGGAUGUCAUUGAUGAAUCACUAUGGCAGGAGGAAACCGCUCUCUUAAAGUGAUCUGAAAAUAUUUAUGAAAUGCCUCCUGUUUGCCCAACACUUUGGAGAUUAAGAAAGUUGUAUAAAACAUGAUUCCAUUCCUCAGUGAGGUUGUAGGAUUUAUACUUAAGACUCACUUUUUAAAGCAUUUUAAGUAUGGAUACAAGACAGGUAUGCCUACAAGUGAGUGGGUUAUAUGCCAUGGUGUAUUGGUUAAUCAGCUCUCUCAGAAAACGUAAAACUCUGAUUUAUAGUGUUUUUCAUUUCUGUGGUGCUCAUACUCCCACCAGAGCCAUCACUGAAUACAGAGUUGGAAAGAGAUGUGUACAGUUGUUUCUCACAAGCUGAUCCAAUCUGGCUCCAGAACACAUACAUCAUUUGUCUGCAUGUGCGACACCUUAAAGGAUAUUCUUUAGAUUGUAGGUGUCCUAGAUGUCUGGAGAUGGAAGGUUGGCUAGUUGGACUCCUAUCAGGAAGGCCUUCAUAGGGGAAGUUUAGAAUUUAAAUGGGAGAAGGACUUUGUAUGUUGAACUCUCAAAAUAUAAGGCUGCUUGGUUUAUUCUCCACCUCUCCAUGCCCUGACACAGCCUCUGGAUGUAGUAGAUGCUCAAUAAAGAAAUGUUUGCUCAAAAACAAACAAAAAAAUAUGGUUAGACUGAAGGCAAUGGGGAAGGUUUUUUGGAGCAAAACUUAUUUUUUAAAAAGCAAAAGUAAAAUUGAGAGACAAAGUAUGACCAAAUGUUAAUGUCUAUUAAAGCUGUUGGUAGAUGCAUACAUUUGGUUAUUAUGUAUUUCAUUUCCUGCCUUCUUCCAUAUAUUGAAAAGAUAUAAAAACUACUUAAAUCUUUGAAAAGGGCAAGAGGAAAAAUGAAAUUAUGUGAACAAAGGCACAGAAGUAGGAAUGAACACAAUCUGGUGGGUACUGCGAAGACCCUGAACCAGUCAGAGUGUGGCAGGGAAUAUCAAACAUCAAGGCUGGUUGUAAGAACAGGGAUGAAAGGAGAUCUCACCCCAGUUAACUGCUGCCUUUCACACUGCUUCCUAAGUGGUGCUAAAGAACUCAACCCAUUCUUUCUCCUUAGAAUUACAGUUCAUGUGUUAACUUUUGAAUUUCUGUAUUUUUGGAGAGAAUAUUAAUAAUCAAAAUAAGGAAUAGGUGGGGAAGGAAAUAUUUCAUCUUUUUUUCCAUAGGGAAAUGGACAACUUAACUAAAAACAUUUGUUACUGUUAAAUGAAAUCAGUGGUAUCCAGUGGUGUUUAUUAACAUAGCUGCCUCUAUAUUGAACACAACCUAAAUUGUCCAACCCCCUUUCCUGCCCUAAAUGCACACAUAUUCUGAAGCAGCCUAAAAUAGUGUCCUGUUAGACAAAGGUAUAGAAUGCCAUAGGGUCCUCUGAAUUAGAGUUCAGGGUUCUGUUCAUUGCAUAAAACAAAGAAUAAAUCAUACAUAUAUUUAAACUCUGUUGGAAGUCUAUUGUGGAGAAAAUGAAAGAGGACAAAAUGUAAUAAUCACAGUAAGGUGGCAUUCAAGAAACUAGAAAAAAUAUAGAGAAGGGCAUUCUCUAUUCUGCUUGUAUAUUUCACAUCUCUGUAUUAGCACUGUGUAGCAUUAAAUAGCACCUUAGAAAAUAACUCUGAGCACACAAGUUCUCAGAAAACAUUCACUCUAUUUUCAAUGCACUCUAAAUAAUGCCUUCAGCACCCUACAGACAUGCCAUCAAAUUACAGUAAUAGGAAAACGACAAAAAAUGCUUGCCUGAAGCACAGGAUUUCUAGAACUGAGGAUGAGGCUUCCUUACUCUUUCAGGCCUUUAUUGUCUAUAGCUUGCUUAGAUUAGCUACGUUAGAAUCUGCGUUAAAAUAAAGGCUACAAUGGUGGUUAUUAAACAAAUAGGGUCACAAAUUUAUCAUCAGAAACAAUUUUCAAAAAAGAGGAAUUGAUAAAAAAAUUUACCAACUUAGGCAUGGCCAGUGUGCAUCUGGUGUACAUGCUAGUGAUUAGGAACAUACACUCUGUAUUUUUCUCAUAGAGUCUAAAUCCAAGCUGAACCCCAUUAAAAUGCUCAUUUAUGUCUUUAUACACAGUCCUUUCCCCCUUUUGUUAGACUCUCUGUGUUUGCCUUUACAAAAUGUUUAGAUUAUCUCAUGGAAUAAAACUUCUAUCUGUUAUCACGGAAUUUCCAGGUCAGAGGAUUUUUCUCCUACCAAAAAUUAAAUAAUGAAAAUUUAAAAAGAAUCUGAACUUCCCAUCAUGGCUCAGCAGUUAAUGAACCCAACUAGCAUCCAUAAGGACACGGGUUCGAUCCCUUGCCUUGCUCAAUGGGUUAAGGAUCCUGUGUUGCUGUGAGCUGUGGUGUACAUGGCAGAUGCUGCUCAAAUCCCACAUUGCUAUGGUGUAGGCUGGUAGCUUCAGCUCUGAUUUGACCCCUAUCCUGGAACUUCCUUAUGCUGUGGGUGCUGCC